CUUCAUUAAUGGCAUUUUUUCAGUAGAAAUGAACAGGAGAAUUAAAAAACUUCUAGCUGACGGAAGCAAUGAGAGCAUCCCAGCAGUUUGCAUUUGUGAUUGAUAGGAAUUCAUGCUCCAAAAUGAAGUACUGUCGAGGAUACCAACGAGGGGUACCCUCACCAAUGCGUAUAACGAAACCAUCCGUACACACGGGCGACCGUCGACGGCCGCAGCCUCGAAGACGGAAUUACCGUCGAGCGAGUCGGCCAGGGCUCGAGCAGCAACUGCCGUCGAAUACGGAAGCAGGGCUCGAGCGAACCGAGGGACGUCGAGCGCAGGGACACUGCCCGCCGCCUGACGCGCGCACGCGGGUCGGAGCAUUUAAUGCACCUGACGCUUCCCCACCUAACACAUGGGCCACGGGAGGCUUCCGUCCCAUCGUUCUUUUUGCAGCCUUCCCACCGAACGGCCCAGGGCGUGCCAGGACGCGGGAAACAAGGAUGGAACGUCUAAUCGGGACCCCCUCGAGACACCCAGGGUCAGCGCUCCAGACAUCGACACCUCGUACGGCGUCCGAUCCUCGACUUCACCAGGCUCCUUCCUGGAGACGAGUCGGACGUCGACUGACCACGUCGUAACCACUCCGCCGGGUUUGCCGCCGGGUCAUAUAAGCGUGCAUCCACCGAACCAAUCCAAGACGGCGCGCAGAGCAGAGUGCAGGGGCACGCGUGAUCAUCACCAAGCUAUUAAGACGGGACGGCUCGAGGUCGUGCCGGUACGGAAGCCUCGAGUAGGUCAGCGCUCCAUGCGGCUAUCGACUCCAAUCCCUACACCUAUACAUGUACCCUAGGACCUUCCUUGGAACUAUAAAAGGAGGGACUCAGGAAUAGAAGAGGGGACAACACAGGACCACGCUCAUACGUAGAAGAGCUCCACACUUCAUACCACGCUUGUAUUCGCCCCUGUACAAGCACUUAGGUGCAAGAUAAUACAAACUCUCUCCCCCCGCUGGACGUAGGGCCUUCUCUUGCCCGAACCAGGAUAAACCUUUGUGUCUUCUUGCAUCACCAUCCGGGAAAGGGAGCACGCAUACAAAUUUACUCGUUGGUGUGACCCCCCGGGGGAAAAACACCGACAAGUACUAAUUGGUAUACUUGGAAGAGGCAGUUGAAUCUGUGACAAAGUUUGUUGGCAAAUGGCUGAAAAAGGUUAUCGAUAGUGUCUGGCUGCCUGCAAAUGAUAUUUUAAAGGAUUGUCAAGGUAC
rnacentral:lncRNA from 1 species